rnacentral:lncRNA from 1 species
GAGACUUACCACCUCGCUGGGCGGAGGGAGGUUGUCUCCAAGCAUCCCAUAGCAGACACCGAUUGAUUGCUCUCCUGAAGUGGAGUUGACUGGAAGAUUGGUAUCUGAUGUAGAAGAAGAUGGUCAUACAGAGUGGACAUGGAGUAGGGUUUGGAAUCAGACAAACUCUCAUUCAAGCAAUUCCAUCAAAGUUGCAUUCUGAUCAAGUAAUAUAUUUCUGAUAAAUACUUUUCUCCUUUCCUUUUCUACAGACGAGAGAGGGGGGGAGAGAGAACCUGUUGGAACUGCCACGAGGACCGAAACCACCAACGCAAAGCCAUCGAUGGAGAGAGCACCUCUGGUUACCAUUUCUCUCUCUAAUUGCCUGUGUCGAUCACAAACAUGCCCCUGCGCUCUUAUGUGAAGGUUUUGUCAGAGACACUCUUCUCUCAGAUCUAUGACGACAAAAAGUCAAGACGAGCUUAGUCUAUCCGCCUGGCGUUUGGCUGCUCCCAGAUUCCAAGAUGACGGCUCGGAGGUCUUCUUUCCCCUUCUUCCUUCCGCUCUCCUCCACGAUCAUCGUAUGCCAUAAGCAACCAAAACUGGUCGGCAUUCUG